AUUGAACGCUGGCGGCAGGCUUAACACAUGCAAGUCGAACGAGUGGCGGACGGGUGAGUAAUGCUUGGGAAUCUAGCUUAUGGAGGGGGAUAACUACGGGAAACUGUAGCUAAUACCGCGUACCAUAGGAUGAGCCCAAGUGGGAUUAGGUAGUUGGUGAGGUAAAGGCUCACCAAGCCGACGAUCUCUAGCUGGGCUGAGCGGAUGACCGGCCACACUGUGAAUGAGACACGGCCCAGACUCCGACGGGAGGCAGCAGGGGGGAAUAUUGCACAAUGGGCGCAAGCCGGAUGCAGCCAUGCCGCGUGUAUGAAGAAGGCCUUCGGGUUGUAAAGUACUUUCAGCGAGGAGGCGUUACUCGCAGAAGAAGCACCGGCUAACUCCGUGCCAGCCGCCGCGGUAAUAC
rnacentral:rRNA from 1 species